UACGUAGGGGGCAAGCGUUGUCCGGAAUUAUUGGGCGUAAAGCGCGUGUAGGCGGCUCGGUAAGUCUGCUGUGAAAGUCCAGGGCUCAACCCUGGAAUGCCGGUGGAUACUGUCGAGCUCGAGUCCGGAAGAGGCGAGUGGAAUUCCUGGUGUAGCGGUGAAAUGCGCAGAUAUCAGGAGGAACACCAACAGCGAAGGCAGCACUCUGGGCCGGUACUGACGCUGAGACGCGAAAGCGUGGGGAGCGAACAGG
rnacentral:rRNA from 1 species